rnacentral:rRNA from 1 species
GGAUUCGACUAAGCCAUGCAAGUUCAGGCCUCGCAAGAGACCGGCAGACUGCUCAGUAACACGUCGAUAAUCUAACCUUAGAUUCAGAAUAACCUUGGAAAACUGAGGAUAAUACUGGAUGGGAGAAGAUAUCUGGAAUGACUCUUCUUUAAAACGUAAGGUCUAAGGAUGAGUCGGCGACGGAUUAGGUUGUUGGUGGGGUAAUGGCCCACCAAGCCAAUAUCCGUAGGGGCCUUGAGAGAGGUAGCCCCGAGAAGGGUACUGAGACACUGGCCCUAGCCCCACGGGGUGCAGCAGGCGCGAAACCUUUACACUACACGAAAGUGUGAUAAGGGGAUCCUAAGUGCUUACACAAAGUGUAGGCUUUUGCCGAGAGUAAAUAUCUCGGAGAAUAAGUGGUGGGCAAGACUGGUGCCAGCCGCCGCGGUAACACCAGCGCCACAAGUGGUGGCCUUAAUUAUUUGGUCUAAAGCGUCCGUAGCAGGUUUAGCAAAUCUCUUGUGAAAUUGUUGGGCUUAACUUAACAACGUGCAGGAGACACUACUAAACUUGAGACUGGGAGGGGUUAGAGGUAUUUCUGGGGGAGCGGUAAAAUGCUAUAAUCCCAGAAGGACCACCUAUGGCGAAGGCAUCUAACCAGAACAGUUCUGACUGUGAGGGACGAAGGCCAGGGGAGCAAACCGGAUUAGAUACCCGAGUAGUCCUGGCAGUAAACUCUGCGAGCUAGGUGUUGCAUAAUCCACGGGAUUAUGCAGUGUCGUAGCGAAGGCGUUAAGCUCGCCACCUGGGAAGUACGGUCGCAAGACUGAAACUUAAAGGAAUUGGCGGGGGAGCACUACAAGGGGUGCGGCGUGCGGUUUAAUUUAACUCAACACAGAGAAUCUCACCAGAAGCGACGGCAGAAUGAAGGUCAGUCUAAAGGGCUUGCCUGACGAGCCGAGAGGUGGUGCAUGGCCGUCGCCAGCUCGUGCCGUAAGGUGUCCAGUUAAGUCUGGUAACGAGCGAGACCUGUACCUACAAUUGCUAACAGCUGAACUUCAGGACUGAGCACAUUGUGGGGACUGCCUUGGAAACAAGGAGGAAGGUGCAGGCAACGGUAGGUCUGUAUGCCCCGAAUCCUCUGGGCUACACGCGCGCAACAAUGGUAGGGACAAUGGGAUGCAACUCCGAAAGGAGAAGCUAAACCUCUAAACCCUAUCCUAGUCCAGAUCGAGCUUUGUAACUCAGGCUCGUGACGUCGGAAUCCCUAGUAAUCAGACUUUAUCAUAGUUUGGUGAAUAUGUCCCUGCUCCUUGCACACACCGCCCGUCAAAUCAACCGAGCAGGGUUUGGGUGAGUAUUACUUUUUUGAGUAAUCCGAAUCUAAGCUCAGUGAGGUGGGUUAAGUCGUCACAAGGUA